GGGGAUUUAGCUCAGUGGGUAGAGUGCUUGCCUAGCAAGCACAAGGCCCUGGGUUCGGUACCCAGCUCCG
rnacentral:tRNA from 1 species